rnacentral:lncRNA from 10 species
UGCACCAUCUGGUCCCCUGGGAGGUCAGUGCAGGGUUCCUCCAUUUUGACAUGAGUAAAUUCUAGAUUAGGUAUUUGGCAGUUAACUCAUCUGGAUAUAUGGGAACAGAAGUGCCAGACACGUAGAUAAUAUUUGGAGAACAGGAGCAGACUUGGAACAUGCUGAAUAGAGGACAAGGAAGAUGAGAAGAAUGUAUAUUCUGUGAUUGUUGGAUGAAGUGAUCUGUAGAUGUCUAUCAGGUCCAACUGGGUAACUUUGGUGAAGUCCAGUAAUUCAAGUGUUUGGCUAACAAUCAUCAAGGCCACAAAAACCCAGCCUCUGCUCUUGGCAGUAUCAGGAACUUCAUAGAAUACAUCACUUUCAAAUUGCAGCUGCAAAUGGUCUUGUUAAAGGGUAUCAUCAGACAAACUUAAAGAUGAUCUGACAAUGUCAUUUUCCAAGGGACUGAUAGAAAGAUUGAGUAUCAUGGAAUCAGAACAGACAACAGAGAAUCAGGAUUUGGACUGAAUCAGAAUAAACAGGCAAUGCAGACACUUGUUCUCUGAAUCACAAUCAAGACUCAGUGCUGGAACAGAUUUGAGGAAUGUAUACAAUUCUUAUCUAAACUGAUGUCUGAUAUUUAACCAGGUUAAAGUUUUUUCUUUUAUUUUAAUGUGAGAAAAAUUUAACAGAUAAUACAUUUUCCCUUCACUACUCAAUGUCUCAGUUAGAAUUUCAUCUGAAUUGCAUUUAUUCAAUUCAUUUUAUUUCUUGACUUGGUGGAUUUAAUAUUCCUGGCAUGCUUUGAAAACAUGGCUGAAUGCAUUUAUGAAUGAAAAUUGACAAAUCCUAGUUCUGUUUCUUAAAUACAUUAUUUGUCACAAGCUUUAGAAGAAAAUCACUAAUUAUUUAAUGUGGUUGUAUUUUCAAAUCCCUGAAAAGUGUUGAAUGCUAUAUACCAAACAUAUAUUGGCAUAUCAAAUGUUGCCCAAGAGUCAAGCAUGACUUUUAUAAGAAGUUGCAAGAAAAGAUUGAAAAUAUUUGUAAAAAUGAAUAUUUUGUCACUCUUUAAGAACCAGAAUGCUUUGAUCUACAUUUGUAGAUUUCUAGUUUGGAUAAGUUAUUUGGAGAAAUAAACAAAAUUGUUUUAUUGAAAAAGUUUUAUGUUAAUUUCAUAGUUGACUGUUUCCAUGGAAAAUAAAAAUAUUUUUGACGGAAUCAACUUACUCUGGUGAGCUUUGUUGAGAGUAGAUUUUUUGAGGAAAGAAUUGAAGGAGUGGCCAUAUUCAUACUAGAAUAAAACAUAGGAGAUGUCAAGAUUAUCUGAAGGAAGGGGAGAGAAGAGACACCAGAUACUUGCAGACACAGAAGAAAUACCAUGUGCAAACAUACCCAGAAGACCACCAUCUGCAAGAGAAGGAGAGAGACCUCAGAAUACACCAAUGCUGCUGAAACCUUCAUCUUGGACUUCCAGCCUCCAGACUUUGAGAAAAUAAAUUUCUGUUGUUUAAGGAGCGCAGUCUAUGGUAUUUGGUAA